rnacentral:tRNA from 1 species
GACAAUUUCGUGUAGUGGUUUGAGUGUUGGACUAUGACUCUGGAGACCGGGGUUCAAUUCCCCACUUGGCCA